rnacentral:rRNA from 1 species
GCCAUGCCGCGUGUGUGAAGAAGGCCUUCGGGUUGUAAAGCACUUUCAGUCGUGAGGAAGGUAGUGUAGUUAAUAGCUGCAUUAUUUGACGUUAGCGACAGAAGAAGCACCGGCUAACUCCGUGCCAGCAGCCGCGGUAAUACGGAGGGUGCGAGCGUUAAUCGGAAUUACUGGGCGUAAAGCGCAUGCAGGUGGUUUGUUAAGUCAGAUGUGAAAGCCCGGGGCUCAACCUCGGAAUUGCAUUUGAAACUGGCAGACUAGAGUACUGUAGAGGGGGGUAGAAUUUCAGGUGUAGCGGUGAAAUGCGUAGAGAUCUGAAGGAAUACCGGUGGCGAAGGCGGCCCCCUGGACAGAUACUGACACUCAGAUGCGAAAGCGUGGGGAGCAAACAGGAUUAGAUACCCUGGUAGUCCACGCCGUAAACGAUGUCUACUUGGAGGUUGUGGCCUUGAGCCGUGGCUUUCGGAGCUAACGCGUUAAGUAGACCGCCUGGGGAGUACGGUCGCAAGAUUAAAACUCAAAUGAAUUGACGGGGGCCCGCACAAGCGGUGGAGCAUGUGGUUUAAUUCGAUGCAACGCGAAGAACCUUACCUACUCUUGACAUCCAGAGAACUUUCCAGAGAUGGAUUGGUGCCUUCGGGAACUCUGAGACAGGUGCUGCAUGGCUGUCGUCAGCUCGUGUUGUGAAAUGUUGGGUUAAGUCCCGCAACGAGCGCAACCCUUAUCCUUGUUUGCCAGCGAGUAAUGUCGGGAACUCCAGGGAGACUGCCGGUGAUAAACCGGAGGAAGGUGGGGACGACGUCAAGUCAUCAUGGCCCUUACGAGUAGGGCUACACACGUGCUACAAUGGCGCAUACAGAGGGCGGCCAACUUGCGAAAGUGAGCGAAUCCCAAAAAGUGCGUCGUAGUCCGGAUUGGAGUCUGCAACUCGACUCCAUGAAGUCGGAAUCGCUAGUAAUCGUGGAUCAGAAUGCCACGGUGAAUACGUUCCCGGGCCUUGUACACACCGCCCGUCACACCAUGGGAGUGGGCUGCAAAAGAAGUAGGUAGUUUAACCUUCGGGGGGACGCUUACCACUUUGUGGUUCAUGACUGGGGUGAAGUCGUAACAAGGUAGCGCUAGGGGAACCUGGCGCUGGAUCACCUCCUUA